AAACACUCGCAGGGUCGCAGUUCGUGGCAGAGAGGAAUAUAAACGGGUGCCAGUCUGCAUACAGCAAUAUAAUCGGCAUAUGGGGGGAGUUGAUCUGUCCGAUCAACUAAUGCAGCCGUAUUUAAUCAUGCGGAAAACCAGGGCAUGGUAUAAAAAAGUGGGCAUAUAUAUAAUGCAGACGGCAGUCCACAAUGCCUUUAUCAUUUUUAAAAAGGCAAAUGCUGAGCUGAAAUGCACAUUCCUUUCAUUUCAAUUUCAGCUCAUUUCUGGGUUACUUGAGUGCCACAGAGGGGGACAAUCAGUGGAGCCUAGCAGAAGAAUGGAGGCAGGUCACUUCUGCUUCAAGAUUCCAUCAACCUCCAGAAAGAAAAACCCCCAGAAAAGAUGCAGG